UGCCCAGCAACUCCUAUCCCUACCUCCUCGUGGUACUGGCCGGGGUACGAGUAAUCUUGGGGAGGAUCGGGCAACCAACCCCGGUGGGAACUUUGGUCGUAUGCUGACAGGGAAAAGG
rnacentral:ribozyme from 1 species